GGCGCAAGCCUGAUCCAGCAAUGCCGCGUGAGUGAAGAAGGCCUUCGGGUUGUAAAGCUCUUUCAGUUGAGAAGAAAAAAUUCUGGCUAAUACCCAGAAUUCAUGACGGUAUCGACAGAAGAAGCACCGGCUAACUACGUGCCAGCAGCCGCGGUAAUACGUAGGGUGCAAGCGUUAAUCGGAAUUACUGGGCGUAAAGGGUGCGCAGGUGGUUUUGUAAGUCAGAUGUGAAAUCCCCGGGCUUAACCUGGGAAUUGCGUUUGAAACUACAAGACUAGAGUGUGGCAGAGGGGGGUGGAAUUCCAUGUGUAGCAGUGAAAUGCGUAGAGAUAUGGAAGAACAUCGAUGGCGAAGGCAGCCCCCUGGGUUAACACUGACACUCANGCACGAAAGCGUGGGGAGCAAACAGGAUUAGAUACCCUGGUAGUCCACGCCCUAAACUAUGUCAACUAGUUGUUGGGUCUUAUUAGACUUGGUAACGAAGCUAACGCGUGAAGUUGACCGCCUGGGGAGUACGGUCGCAAGAUUA
rnacentral:rRNA from 1 species